GACACUCCUAGCCAUUUAUGCAACCAAUCCUAGCUCACGGUACAGUAUUGUUGAAUCGGUUCAGAUUUUUUGAUUCAUGUUUUAGCAGAUCUUUUGUGUCCAUUCGAAUCCUCAAUCUCUAAUUUGAAUUCUCAUACUUUUUCCAGUCAAAUUGGACACUCCUAGCCUUUUAUGUAGCCAACCCCAGCUCACAGUACAGACAUUUAUUAUUGAAUCGGAUUAUUUUUUUUUAUUCAUUUUUUAGCAGAUCUUUUGUGUCCAUUCGAAUUCUGAAUCUCUAAUUUGAAUUCUCAUACUUUUUCCAAUCAAAUUGGACACCCCUAGCCUUUUAUGUAGCCAACCCUAGCUCACGGUACAGACAUUUAUUGUUGAAUCAGUUUAGUUUUUAUUUAUUUAUUUUUUUAGCAGAUCUUUUGUGUCCAUAAGAAUCCUCAAUCUCUAAUUUCAAUUCUCAUACUUUUUUCAAUCAAAUUGGCCACUUCUAGCCUUUGCUCUAGCCAACCCUAGCUCACUGUACAGACAGAUAUUGUUGAAUCGGUUCAAUUUUUUUGACUCUUGUUUUCGAAGAUCUUUUGUGUCCUUUCGAAUCCUCGAUCACUAAUUUGAAUUCUCAUACUUUUUCCACUCAAAUUGGACACUCCUAGCCUCUUAUGUAGCCAACCGUAGCUCACGAUACAGAUAGGUAUUGUUGAAUCAGUUAAGUUUUAUUGAUUCAUGUUUUGCCAGAUAUUUUGUGUCUAUUCGAAUCCUCGAUGGCUAAUUUAAAUUCUCAUACUUUUUCCACUCAAAUUGGACACUCCUAGCCUUUUAUGUACCCAACCCUAGCUUACGAUAUAGAUAGGUAUUGUAUAAUCAGUUCAGUUUUUUUAAUUUAUGUUUUGGCAAAUCUUUUGUGUCUAUUAGAAUCCCCAAUCUCUAAUUUGAAUUCUCAUACUUUUUCCAAUCAAAUUGGCCACUUCUACCGUUUGCUCUGAUCAACCGUAGGUCACGGUAUAGACAGGUAUUGUUGAAUCAGUUCAGUUUUUUUUAUUCAUGUUUUAGCAAAUCUUUUGUGUCCAUUAGAAUCCUCAAUCUCUUAUUUGAAUCCACAUACUUUUUCCAACCAAAUUGGCCACUUCUAGCCUUUGCUCUAGCCAACCCUACUCCACUGUACAAACGGGUAUUGUUGAAUCGGUUCAGUUUUUUUGACUCUUGUUUUGGUAGAUCUUUUGUGUCCAUUACAAUUCUCAAUCUCUAAUUUGAAUUAUCAUACUUGUUCCAAUCAAAUUGGACACUCCUAGCCUUUUAUGUACCCAACCCUAU
rnacentral:lncRNA from 1 species